rfam:Gossypium arboreum cultivar AKA8401 contig_67040_1, whole genome shotgun sequence.
UGUUAAAAAUUUCAUUCAUUUAUACUAUUAAAAAUUGACUUAACUGACAGAAUAACUAGACAGUGACAUUUGAUGUGCCAUGUGUACCUUAUGCUAGCGUACAUAGACCAAUUUUUUACAACAGAUAUAGAUAGAAUUUUCAACA